AAAGGGGCUUCGGCCCUGAGUAAAGCGGCGCACGGGUGAGUAACACGUGGGUAAUCUGCCCUAGAGUGGGGAAUAACACCGGGAAACCGGUGCUAAUACCGCAUACGAUCGCGAUGUCUUCGGAUGUUGUGAUGAAAGGAGCAAUUCGCUCUUGGAGGAGCCCGCGGCUGAUUAGCUAGUUGGUGAGGUAAUGGCUCACCAAGGCAACGAUCAGUAGCCGGUCUGAGAGGACGGUCGGCCACACUGGAACUGAGACACGGUCCAGACUCCUACGGGAGGCAGCAGUGGGGAAUUUUUCGCAAUGGGGGCAACCCUGACGAAGCAACGCCGCGUGGGUGAUGAAGUAUCUCGGUACGUAAAACCCUUUCGACGGGGAAGAAACCGCAAGGUUGACGGUACCCGUAGAAGAAGCCCCGGCUAACUCCGUGCCAGCAGCCGCGGUAAUACGGGGGGGGCAAGCGUUGUUCGGAAUUACUGGGCGUAAAGGGCGCGUAGGCGGUCUGCUAAGUUGGGUGUGAAAACUCUGGGCUUAACCCAGAGCCUGCACUCAAAACUGACAGGCUAGAGUUCUGGAGGGGAUAGCGGAAUUCCUGGUGUAGCGGUGAAAUGCGUAGAUAUCAGGAGGAACACCGGUGGCGAAGGCGGCUAUCUGGACAGAGUCUGACGCUGAGGCGCGAAAGCUAGGGGAGCAAACAGGAUUAGAUACCCUGGUAGUCCUAGCCCUAAACGAUGGAUACUUGCUGUAACUGGGAUUGAAUCCAGUCGUGGCGAAGCUAACGCAUUAAGUAUCCCGCCUGGGGAGUACGGUCGCAAGGCUG
rnacentral:rRNA from 1 species